AACGCGAAGAACCUUACCAAGUCUUGACAUCCCCCUGACCGGCACGUAACGGUGCCCUUCCCUCGGGACAGGGGAGCCAGGUGGUGCAUGGUUGUCGUCAGCUCGUGUCGUGAGAUGUUGGGUUAAGUCCCGCAACGAGCGCAACCCUUACCCUUAGUAGCCAGCACGUCAUGGUGGGCACUCUAGGGAGACUGCCAGGGAUAACCUGGAGGAAGGUGGGGAUGACGUCAAAUCAUCAUGCCCCUUAUGAUUUGGGCUACACACGUGCUACAAUGGCGUAAACAAAGGGAGGCGACCCUGCGAAGGCAAGCGAAUCCCAAAAAUAACGUCCCAGUUCGGACUGUAGUCUGCAACCCGACUACACGAAGCUGGAAUCGCUAGUAAUCGCGGAUCAGAAUGCCGCGGUGAAUACGUUCCCGGGUCUUGUACACACCGA
rnacentral:rRNA from 1 species